GGAAAUUCCGGGAAGCCGGCGGUACGAAAGUCAAAUAUUGGCGGCCGAUAAUCGGCGCCGAUUCCAUCCGGGCACUUUUCGCGGAAACAGUAAUUCCGCAGUUGCUCGGCCGACUUUUGCCCAUCGCCGGAAACCAGGCCGACGACGGAUCGGGGAAUCCGGACUUUCGACCGGCCGCGUCACACUUGCCUGUCUCGCGACGUAUCGGCGAUAGCGUGCACGCCGCGCGAUCGUGAUCCCUUCCGCGUGUCACGACGCAGAAGCUCUGCCUCGUUUCAUUUCGCCUGACACAGGGCUAUACUCACUGGAAAAGUUCAAACAAGAAUUUGUGUUAAUGCCGUGAGAUCUAGACGAAAGAUGCUUUUUGAUAGUGACAUCUCUUUUACAAGGGCUGUUCCUUGAUUCGUAAGUUAUAAUUUGAUAACGAGUUCAAAACAAAAUGAAAGAGCUGAACGUUAACUUGUUCAACAUGCGGAAGCACAUUACGAAAAAGAGAACAACGUAAUGCAAAUAUUGAUGACAAUUGCGCCAUGUCAGCUGAAAAUGAAAAUUCCGAUACGGGUGAAGUAGAAAAAAUGAUGAUACAAUUGAAGCAGCAAAAGAAAAGCAUGAGAUUAUAUCGAAGAUACUCAUAAGUAAUGUUGUUGUUUUUUUGAUACUGUACAAAAUUUUAUUUAGGAGUCAAUACAAUUUUAAUCUAUAAUAUAAUUUGCACA